ACCGUUGACGCUACUUUUUAAAGGUGCCAUAUACGUCCUGCUCCAGCCACCGUAAAAAAUACCAACGAAAGGUUUUCAACUGUAUUCUCGCGUAUUUUAAAUUCUGAAUGAAGCGAGGAAAUUAUUGGUUUUAUAAUGAUGUUUUUUUUUAUAUAUAUACUGUGUACAAAAUGUCUCCUAGAAAUCUUGCUUCAAUCAAAACAUCCCCUUUGUACCUUUUUAUCGAAUUUUGGCUCUAUUUUUAAAAGGUAAUUCUUUGUAAUUCUCAUUAAUAGUCGAAAUAAUUAGGAAAAGCUGUUUUUUUU